GACGAACGCUGGCGGCGUGCUUAACACAUGCAGGUCGAACGGAAAGGCCCUGCUUGCAGGGUACUCGAGUGGCGAACGGGUGAGUAACACGUGGGUGAUCUGCCCUGCACUUCGGGAUAAGCCUGGGAAACUGGGUCUAAUACCGGAUAGGAGCCAUUUUUAGUGUGAUGGUUGGAAAGUUUUUUCGGUGUAGGAUGAGCUCGCGGCCUAUCAGCUUGUUGGUGGGGUAAUGGCCUACCAAGGCGGCGACGGGUAGCCGGCCUGAGAGGGUGGACGGCCACAUUGGGACUGAGAUACGGCCCAGACUCCUACGGGAGGCAGCAGUGGGGAAGAUUGCACAAUGGGCGCAAGCCUGAUGCAGCGACGCCGCGGGGGGGAUGACGGCCUUCGGGUUGUAAACUCCUUUCGCUAGGGACGAAGCUUUUUGUGACGGUACCUAGAUAAGAAGCACCGGCUAACUACGUG
rnacentral:rRNA from 1 species